AGAGACUUUGACACCUAAUGCACGACAAUUUAUUGUAUUUAGUGUCAAAACAUUUGCGGAAAAUGUCCAAAUGCAAAAGUAAAGUUCCGAUUUAAAUUAUUCAUAUUCUGUGUGGUUUUUUCUUUUAUUGCGGUUUAUUUUAAUAUUUAUUCCACAAAAUGGAUAUGUAUCUUCGGAGGAGUUCAGCGGUGAUAUUGCCGCAUUUGCUGGAAAUCGAUUUAACUUGGAACUCAACUUAAAACCAACUCCAUUAUACAAUAAACAAGAUCAGAAAAGUUCCAUGAUCGUUUCUUACAUUUUUUAUGGUUGGUCUUAUGAUUUAUUGUGGAUAUUAGACGUUUACGCAUCAAAAAUCUUUCAAAUCUCACUAUUAACUCCAACAAUUUUACUAAUAACACCCCGAAUUGCAAUAUGUUUACUCUCUUAUCUAAUCGACUGGUCACUCUACAAGAUCGACAUAAAAUCCGGUGGUAAAUAUCGCUCAAAGUCAUUGAUUCUAGCCAGUUCAUAUUGUAUGUUAAUUUACACAUCUCGAACUCUGGUGAAUAUUCAAGAAAUCAUUUUAUUUUCAUUGCUAUUAUACUUUGUAAUUGGUAGCAAAGUUUACACAAACAAUAAACCCACACUGAAGAAAUAUUUACUAACGCCAAAUAAAGAAGUAAAAAAGAUAUUCAAGCAACAAUUACAAUCAACUGAUACGCAACCUUACAAAAAUAUUAUACCAAUCAGUAUAAUCCUGGUUUUAGGAUGUUUCAAUCGUCCAAUAUUCUUUUUCUAUGCACUAACACCAAUCAUGUUCUGGUUGUGCCGUGAUUUAGGCUAUAAACAAUAUCAUGGAGUCAGUAUUAUCUUCAUCAAAAGAUACCUAAUAUUAUUCUGUGUAACAUUGCCGAUAGCAAUUUUAAUGAUGAUUGUGGAAUCAGAUAUUACAUUUGAAGAAGCUUUAAAUAUCGACGUAUUAAAUUACAAGAUUAUUCCAACCAUCAAUCAAAAUAUUGGAUUGGGCAGUGAUCAACUGUUAGUAAACUGGAAUUGGAAACUUGUAACUAUUCUUGGACAUAUUAUGAUAUUAUUUCCUAUAUUAGGAGUAUACACAAUGGUAGAAUGGAUUAGAAUCAUCUGUAAAUUUAAAUCAAAGAAGAAAAAUGCAUCGAAAUUAUCUUCAAUUCAUGUUUUUAUGAAUUUAUCUUUAAUAUUCUCCACUGGUUUGUUAAUAUUGUCUGUAAAAUUAACCACAUAUGAUUUUUUUACCGCUAAUUAUACCAUUUGUUUAUAUAAAUGGUGAAACAAUCAUAAAAUCAUCAAGAAAAACAGUUAAAACAACAAAUUAUGCAUUUAAAUUGUGGAUUUGCAUCAAUAUGUUGCUGGGAUUAUUUAAUGGAUUUUUACACGAAGGCGGAGUACUUCCUGCAACAAUGUACCUGUCAAAGAGACAUCAAGAACAUCAAAUCUACCCAGUUGAUAUUCAUAUUGUGACCAGCCAUGUCCCGCCGAUACCGCAAAUGUUAUUUAUGCAGUAUGAGCACGAACAGGAAAUUUUCCUGCACGAGUAUGGCAAGAGUCCCAUCACGACAGUAAUCGAACAAAUCGCUACGCUCAGAUACGAUGCCUUCGUUACUGGCAACGAGUACCAGCUUUAUUUCCUGAUACCGUCGUAUAAGCACAAUGAAUUGAUCUCGGCGCUACAAGAUUUCAAUCGGGUGGAUAUCAAAUUAGAAACGAGCUUUUAUCCGCACGUUACUGUCGAAGCUUUCGAUACGUUCAAGCUACAAAAUUAUCAAUUUUCGAAUGUGACAGAUCUUAUAUAUGCAACCAGUUUGACAUUCAAUUUAGAUUUGUAUGCUAUUCAACCUUAACUGAAUUAAAAUGUAUAUAAAGUUGCAUAAAAUUAAUUAAUCACGA